UCCGUCAAUUGGUCCGCGGGACUUGGAAAGAAAAAAUUGGACGGAGGUUUCAUUUUCCAUGUGCAAAGCAGGACCAGGGAACUUACUUAUGCGGCUACAACGUAUGCGAGUAUGCCCACUACCUAUCAAACCAAAUAUGCACCACACGAGAGCUUGAUCGUAUUCACAUGAGGGAUAAUCUCCCACACAAGGAUUUUAUCACGGCUGUUCAAGAACAACUGAUGGGAUUCAUCAACGAAGAAGUCCUCAAUCCUGAUGGUGAAUUCUACUAUGACGGAUCGACAAUCCAUAACGUCGGUCCUUCCUCUUCUGACAUAACACCGGCGUCGAAAUCGUAGCUAUAGCUAGCAAGCAAAUGAAUUGUA